CCUACGGGAGGCAGCAGUGGGGAAUAUUGGGCAAUGGGCGAAAGCCUGACCCAGCAACGCCGCGUGAAGGAAGAAGGCUUUCGGGUUGUAAACUUCUUUUGACAGGGAAGAGCAGAAGACGGUACCUGUCGAAUAAGCCACGGCUAACUACGUGCCAGCAGCCGCGGUAAUACGUAGGUGGCAAGCGUUAUCCGGAUUUAUUGGGUUUAAAGGGUGCGUAGGCGGAGCGUUAAGUCAGUGGUCAAAUUGAGGGGCUCAACCCCUUCCCGCCAUUGAAACUGGCGCUCUUGAGUGGAAGAGAAGUAUGCGGAAUGCGUGGUGUAGCGGUGAAAUGCAUAGAUAUCACGCAGAACCCCGAUUGCGAAGGCAGCAUGCCGGCUUCCUACUGACGCUGAAGCACGAAAGCGUGGGGAUCGAACAGGAUUAGAUACCCCAGUAGUC
rnacentral:rRNA from 1 species